AUGACAUGAUGGAGAAGAAAUACAUCUGCCUUCAUAUUCUUACAGCAUGUUUUAUAUAUACCUCGGCUAAGAUCAUUUUAAAACAGCCUGAUGUGCUCCAAGCGAAACCCGGUGAAAGUGUUCAGCUGAAAUGUGCAGUCGAAGGAUUCACCCUUAGUAGCACCUGGAUGGCUUGGAUGCGACAGGCACCCGGGAAAUCACUAGAAUGGCUAAUUUACUACUACGGCUCAGGGAGCGAGUACUAUAACAGUGC